CUCCCAUGGUCAGGAGAGAGCCCCGCCAGCCGGGGCCGCCGAAGGCGCAGGGGUUUCCCGAACGCUCAGGCAAAAGGACUGACACAGCGCU
rnacentral:ncRNA from 1 species